rnacentral:tRNA from 1 species
AAGUGAAAAGCAAAAGUAUUGCAUUUAGUUUCGACCUAAAAUUUUGAUUUUUAUCUUCAUUUU